rnacentral:rRNA from 1 species
UUAAGCGACUAAGCGUACACGGUGGAUGCCCUGGCAGUCAGAGGCGAUGAAGGACGUGCUAAUCUGCGAAAAGCGUCGGUAAGGUGAUAUGAACCGUUAUAGCCGGCGAUGUCCGAAUGGGGAAACCCAGUGCAAUUCGUUGCACUAUCGUUAACUGAAUACAUAGGUUAACGAGGCGAACCGGGGGAACUGAAACAUCUAAGUACCCCGAGGAAAAGAAAUCAACCGAGAUUCCCCCAGUAGCGGCGAGCGAACGGGGAGCAGCCCAGAGUCUGAAUCAGCUUGUGUGUUAGUGGAACGGUCUGGAAAGUCCGACGGUACAGGGUGAUAGUCCCGUACACCAAAAUGCACAGGCUGUGAACUCGAAGAGUAGGGCGGGACACGUGGUAUCCUGUCUGAAUAUGGGGGGACCAUCCUCCAAGGCUAAAUACUCCUGACUGACCGAUAGUGAACCAGUACCGUGAGGGAAAGGCGAAAAGAACCCCGGCGAGGGGAGUGAAAAAGAACCUGAAACCGUGUACGUACAAGCAGUGGGAGCACCUUCGGGUGUGACUGCGUACCUUUUGUAUAAUGGGUCAGCGACUUAUAUUCUGUAGCAAGGUUAACCGUAUAGGGGAGCCGCAGGAAACCGAGUCUUAACUGGGCGUUAAGUUGCAGGGUAUAGACCCGAAACCCGGUGAUUCAGCCAUGGGCAGGUUGAAGGUUGGGUAACACUAACUGGAGGACCGAACCGACUAAUGUUGAAAAAUUAGCGGAUGACUUGUGGCUGGGGGUGAAAGGCCAAUCAAACCGGGAGAUAGCUGGUUCUCCCCGAAAGCUAUUUAGGUAGCGCCUCGUGAACUCAUCUUCGGGGGGUAGAGCACUGUUUCGGCUAGGGGGUCAUCCCGACUUACCAACCCGAUGCAAACUACGAAUACCGAAGAAUGUUAUCACGGGAGACACACGGCGGGUGCUAACGUCCGUCGUGAAGAGGGAAACAACCCAGACCGCCAGCUAAGGUCCCAAAGUCAUGGUUAAGUGGGAAACGAUGUGGGAAGGCACAGACAGCCAGGAUGUUGGCUUAGAAGCAGCCAUCAUUUAAAGAAAGCGUAAUAGCUCACUGGUCGAGUCGGCCUGCGCGGAAGAUGUAACGGGGCUAAACCAUGCACCGAAGCUGCGGCAGCGACACUAUGUGUUGUUGGGUAGGGGAGCGUUCUGUAAGCCUGCGAAGGUGUGCUGUGAGGCAUGCUGGAGGUAUCAGAAGUGCGAAUGCUGACAUAAGUAACGAUAAAGCGGGUGAAAAGCCCGCUCGCCGGAAGACCAAGGGUUCCUGUCCAACGUUAAUCGGGGCAGGGUGAGUCGACCCCUAAGGCGAGGCCGAAAGGCGUAGUCGAUGGGAAACAGGUUAAUAUUCCUGUACUUGGUGUUACUGCGAAGGGGGGACGGAGAAGGCUAUGUUAGCCGGGCGACGGUUGUCCCGGUUUAAGCAUGUAGGCUGGUUAUCCAGGCAAAUCCGGAUAAUCAAGGCUGAGGUGUGAUGACGAGGCACUACGGUGCUGAAGUAACAAAUGCCCUGCUUCCAGGAAAAGCCUCUAAGCAUCAGGUAACAUCAAAUCGUACCCCAAACCGACACAGGUGGUCAGGUAGAGAAUACCAAGGCGCUUGAGAGAACUCGGGUGAAGGAACUAGGCAAAAUGGUGCCGUAACUUCGGGAGAAGGCACGCUGGUGUGUAGGUGAAGCCCCUGCGGGUGGAGCUGAGACCAGUCGAAGAUACCAGCUGGCUGCAACUGUUUAUUAAAAACACAGCACUGUGCAAACACGAAAGUGGACGUAUACGGUGUGACGCCUGCCCGGUGCCGGAAGGUUAAUUGAUGGGGUUAUCCGUAAGGAGAAGCUCUUGAUCGAAGCCCCGGUAAACGGCGGCCGUAACUAUAACGGUCCUAAGGUAGCGAAAUUCCUUGUCGGGUAAGUUCCGACCUGCACGAAUGGCGUAAUGAUGGCCAGGCUGUCUCCACCCGAGACUCAGUGAAAUUGAACUCGCUGUGAAGAUGCAGUGUACCCGCGGCAAGACGGAAAGACCCCGUGAACCUUUACUAUAGCUUGACACUGAACAUUGAGCCUUGAUGUGUAGGAUAGGUGGGAGGCUUUGAAGCGUGGACGCCAGUCUGCGUGGAGCCAACCUUGAAAUACCACCCUUUAAUGUUUGAUGUUCUAACGUUGGCCCCUUAUCGGGGUUGCGGACAGUGUCUGGUGGGUAGUUUGACUGGGGCGGUCUCCUCCCAAAGCGUAACGGAGGAGCACGAAGGUUAGCUAAUCCUGGUCGGACAUCAGGAGGUUAGUGCAAUGGCAUAAGCUAGCUUGACUGCGAGCGUGACGGCGCGAGCAGGUGCGAAAGCAGGUCAUAGUGAUCCGGUGGUUCUGAAUGGAAGGGCCAUCGCUCAACGGAUAAAAGGUACUCCGGGGAUAACAGGCUGAUACCGCCCAAGAGUUCAUAUCGACGGCGGUGUUUGGCACCUCGAUGUCGGCUCAUCACAUCCUGUGGGGCUGAAGUAGGUCCCAAGGGUAUGGCUGUUCGCCAUUUAAAGUGGUACGCGAGCUGGGUUUAGAACGUCGUGAGACAGUUCGGUCCCUAUCUGCCGUGGGCGCUGGAGAAUUGAGGGGGGCUGCUCCUAGUACGAGAGGACCGGAGUGGACGCAUCACUGGUGUUCGGGUUGUCAUGCCAAUGGCACUGCCCGGUAGCUAAAUGCGGAAGAGAUAAGUGCUGAAAGCAUCUAAGCACGAAACUUGCCCCGAGAUGAGUUCUCCCUGAGACUUUAAGUCUCCUGAAGGAACGUUAAAGACGAUGACGUUGAUAGGCCGGGUGUGUAAGCGCAGCGAUGCGUUGAGCUAACCGGUACUAAUGAACCGUGAGGCUUAACCU